rnacentral:rRNA from 1 species
AGGCAGCAGUGGGGGAAUAUUGCACAAUGGGCGCAAGCCUGAUGCAGCCAUGCCGCGUGUGUGAAGAAGGACCUUCGGGUUGUUAAAGCAACUUUCAGUCGUGAGGAAGGUAGUGUAGUUAAUAGCUGCAUUAUUUGACGUUAGCGACAGAAGAAGCACCGGCUAACUCCGUGCCAGCAGCCGCGGUAAUACGGAGGGUGCGAGCGUUAAUCGGAAUUACUGGGCGUAAAGCGCAUGCAGGUGGUUUGUUAAGUCAGAUGUGAAAGACCCGGGGCUCAACCUCGGAAUAGCAUUUGAAACUAGGCAGACUAGAGUACUGUAGAGGGGGGUAGGAAUUUCAGGUGUAGCGGUGAAAUGCGUAGAGAUCUGAAGGAAUACCGGUGGCGAAGGCGGCCCCCUCGGACAGAUACUGACACUCAGAUGCGAAAGCGUGGGGAGCAAACAGGAUUAGAUACCCUGGUAG